rnacentral:lncRNA from 7 species
AUCAGCGACGGAUCCAAGACGGGAUCCAGACUGCUUUCUCUCUCAAUCCAGCACGCUGCCUCCCGCACUGCUUUCCCCUGGAGCAUCCUUGAGCCUGGCCAGAAGAAGUCAGAGCUCCUUUCCUCUCUGCUGCAGCCACCUGCCCUGACAAGUGGCCUGUCCUCGGGGAAGCGGCAUCGUUUCCUAUCAUUAGUGAUGCGGGGCACGGGAAGCUGUGUCCACUCAGCUUUGUCUCUUGCUGGGUGCACACUGGCCGAGGCCGGUGGCAGCUCAUGCGUCCCCUGGAGCUGCCUUGAAACCCAGUGAUGGGUAAAGAAACCCCAUCCAGCUGCUCUUCUCUGUGCCUGCGAGUGCCUCAGCACGGUGAAUAGCAACGGAAGAGCUCAGGAGAAACAAGCAUGAGUGGUAGAAAUAAGCAGCAUCAAGAGAUCCAGCAAGCGAAGGAUGAAAAAUCAGAGUAACGGCCAAGGAGACGACAUCCACUUGACUUCUCUUGCCCGUGGUGUGAGCAAUUAAUCCAGCUAAGGCAUGGCAGUGGAGUGAGGCCAGGAACAGCAGGAGGACGGCGCUGCACCGUCUGUUUCAGCGGGACCGGACAUCUUCCUCUGCCACGCUGCCCCGACCUUUGUGGUGAGGUUGUGCAUGGAGAAAUGUGCUGAACCACCCCGUUGCCAUGGAAACCAAGGCCGAGAGGGGACCAGCCUGCUCCUGCUAAUUGCUGUGGCUUUGUGACCCCAUCCGUCCAUCCUGCUGCCUCCCGUGAGCCUGUCCGAAUGCACAGCGCUGGCCCCAUCCUGCAUCAUCCUGCCCUUUGGCUCCCAGCCCCAAUGCUGUGAGCAGGAUCUGGGGUUCCUCUUUCUCUCCUUUGUGUUGUCACAACCUGCACAAGAUCAGUUAAAAUCCGUGGCUUGAGCAUCCCUGCAGCCCAUCACCCCGUGCGUGCACAUCUGCCUGCAUGCUUGUUGCAGGAGCACGGUGGCGGUGCAGUGAUGCACCUCCCUUGCCCUGCAUCCCGGGCUGCCCUGCCUUUAUCUCGUCCAAUUAAAUAACUGCAGAUAGUGGGCUUAAUAAGGCCCUGCUAUGAAAGAUUACUGACGAUUUCUUUCCCAACGUGCGGUGAAUUAGGAGGCAGUGAGCAGGGAAAGGACUGCUGCUAAUUACAGUCCCCCAUGUCCCCUCUGCUGCCACCACUGCUGCUGGGCCCCUCGCUGCUCCCUGCACCUGAUUGCAUUUUGCUGCUGGUUGUGGCCAAUUUGCAGCUCUCAGCUGCUGCUGCUUCUCCCUUCCCCCCACGCCCCCUGCUCCUCUUCGAGUUUAUUAAUGAAAACCUUAUCUGUCGGUGCAGAUAAUGCCAGAAAUAAUUAGUGCACACGGAGGGCUGGCAGGCUGCUCUCUGCUCCCACCACCCACACCCUCUCCUCUCACUGUUUACAGUUUCCUGUGCUGCUUGGGGCUGCUUUUUGGGUUUUUAAGCCUCCUUGCUCUGUACAGAUUUAUUUGCUUCUCUUUCUCUCCAAGUUUUCCUUGCUCAGAAAGAGACAGACAGACCUGAGGCACAGAUGCAUCCUAAAGAGCUUGACCUUAAACACCUGGGCUGCAGGUGCCCUGACCUUAUGGCUGCUGGAAAUGGGGAGCUGCCCCCCAAUGCCCAAGAGCAGGGAUUGCAUUUGCUCCUGGCAUGCUCUGGUCAGGUCAUGGCCCUGCUCCUGCUGCGCCAGCGCCGUCCUCGCUUUGCUCGUGCUCCCUUUCAUUACACUUAGCAUCAUUGUCUCUUGGCUUAAAUCUUUCAGCCUGAUAAAGGACGACAGCGCUGCUCGAGUGCCUGGGAUGGCAUAAAUAAUUCCAGUGCUGAGAGAGAUUUACAGCUAUAUAAAUGUCAGGAGUGAGCCCAGUUUGUAUUAAUGGCCUUAUUAGUUACAUUGCUGUAAAAUACAGAUCCUCCAAUUGUUAAGCGGCCGUGGUUUUGGUCCACAGCAUUAAUCCAAUAAAUUUGGGCUUCUCAAUACGAAUCUUCGUCUCUGAACCCCACUGGAAAAUCCUUCAUGGUAUGUCAGAGAGCUUUAAAUGGCUGUGGCUGAGACAGAGGUGGGAAUAACAGAGCUGGUGGGAGCGCAGGUGUAAGGCAGUGCAGCAGCCCAUCCCCACCCAAGGGCAUGGGAAGUGUGGAGGUCCCUUGGCCGUGAGGAGCUGUGGGGUGGGAUUGGUGCUUUUGUCACCAGCUUGGAAACCACAGCCCAACCCAAGAGCUCCCAUGGCUCUGAGAUGUCCGUCCGUCCUUCCCACCCUGCUGCCAUCCCUCCCUGUUCCCUGGUGCAUCUCGUAUGAGGACGUUCUGCAACUCUGCAAACUUUCCACCAGCGACCUGCCAAGUGCAUGGGGAGGGAGAGGGGAAAGCACCACGAUAAUUGAAAAUAAAUGGUGCAUUAUAUGAAAUAAAUGUUCUGGUGCAG